rnacentral:tRNA from 1 species
GCUGGUUAUCUCAGUUGGUAGAGCGCUCCACCUGUAAUGGAGAGGUCCCGGGUUCGAUACCCGGACCAGGCG